rnacentral:lncRNA from 1 species
UGGGGUUAUGGUGUUAAUGAAGGGAGAUGUUUGGCGGAUAUUAAGAAGUGGUCGAAGCGAGGUUGAAGGUGGAAAAAUGGAAGAGGGUUUUGGUUGUUAGAGAGAAGGAGAGGUUGCAGGGAUGGUGGGUUUGUGGUAGACGAUGAGGAUAAGGGAUGAGAUAAGGUGUGGAUCUGGUGGCACCGGUUUUGGCAUGCGGUUUUGGUUGGUAAGAUUAAGGGCAAAAACUUUUAGAGAGAAAAAACAAAAGAUGCUUUUUGAAGGUGGCCCUUUUUUUCAGAGAAAGCAUGCAUGAGUGUCAACCUCUCCCCAAGAAAAGUUCUAUCCUUAUUUUGUUUUUUUUUGUCUGAUGGUGAGUAAACAACCUCCUCUCAUGUUAUAGCCUGGCCACCUUUCAAUGACAGAUUUCCCCCUUCAAAUUCAAAAAUC